rnacentral:rRNA from 1 species
GACGAACGCUGGCGGCGUGCUUAACACAUGCAAGUCGAACGGUGAAGCUCCAGCUUGCUGGCGUGGAUCAGUGGCGAACGGGUGAGUAACACGUGAGCAACCUGCCCCAGACUCUGGAAUAAGCGCUGGAAACGGCGUCUAAUACUGGAUACGAGAUCAAGCCGCAUGGUUAUGGUCUGGAAAGUUUUUCGGUUUGGGAUGGGCUCGCGGCCUAUCAGCUUGUUGGUGAGGUAAUGGCUCACCAAGGCGACGACGGGUAGCCGGCCUGAGAGGGCGACCGGCCACACUGGGACUGGGACACGGCCCAGACUCCUACGGGAGGAAGCAGUGGGGAAUAUUGCACAAUGGGCGAAAGCCUGAUGCAGCGACGCCGGGUGGGGGAUGACGGCCUUCGGGUUGUAAACCUCUUUCAGCAGGGAAGAAGCGAAAGUGACGGUACCUGCAGAAGAAGCACCGGCAAACUACGU